UACGUAGGGGGCAAGCGUUGUCCGGAUUUAUGGGGGGUAAAGAGCGUGUAGGCGGCCUUACAGGUCAGCUGUGAAAACUCGAGGCUCAACCUCGAGACGUCGGUUGAAACCGUAUGGCUAGAGUCCGGAAGAGGAGAGUGGAAUUCCCGGUGUAGCGGUGAAAUGCGCAGAUAUCGGGAAGAACACCCGUGGCGAAGGCGGCUCUCUGGGACGGUACUGACGCUGAGACGCGAAAGCGUGGGGAGCGAACAGG
rnacentral:rRNA from 1 species